rnacentral:rRNA from 1 species
AAAUUGAAGAGUUUGAUCAUGGCUCAGAUUGAACGCUGGCGGCAGGCCUAACACAUGCAAGUCGAACGGUAGCACAGAGAGCUUGCUCUCGGGUGACGAGUGGCGGACGGGUGAGUAAUGUCUGGGAAACUGCCUGAUGGAGGGGGAUAACUACUGGAAACGGUGGCUAAUACCGCAUAACGUCGCAAGACCAAAGAGGGGGACCUUCGGGCCUCUUGCCAUCAGAUGUGCCCAGAUGGGAUUAGCUUGUUGGUGGGGUAACGGCUCACCAAGGCGACGAUCCCUAGCUGGUCUGAGAGGAUGACCAGCCACACUGGAACUGAGACACGGUCCAGACUCCUACGGGAGGCAGCAGUGGGGAAUAUUGCACAAUGGGCGCAAGCCUGAUGCAGCCAUGCCGCGUGUAUGAAGAAGGCCUUCGGGUUGUAAAGUACUUUCAGCGGGGAGGAAGGUGUUG